CAAAGAGUCAUGGUCGCCCUCGGAAAUUGACAGCGAGGGACAGCCAGAGGCCCUCUGGUGAGCGGACCCAGAGAGGCCACGCUCAGCAUCCAGAAGCAGAGGGGUGGGACAGGAACAGGAAGUAUAAAAGGAGGGCCCUAUAGCUCAGUUGAGCUGGACCUGUCAGGGGAGACAGAUGCAUUCUGCUGGAGCUGGCUGUACCAAGGACUGGUGAGUGCUCCCAGACCUGAGGACUGGCCACAGCAUCCAGGGUUGUUGGCCCACUAAGAAGCUGCCAACUGAAGACUGAUCAGAGCUCCUGGCUGACAGACACUGAAGAGCUACUGGGGCUGCUGCUAGCCACCUACCUGUGGGAGACUGAGGACAACUACAAUGUAAAGCAUUGCAUCAGCACUGCCUCCGACUAAGCCAAUGUGACUCCAGCAAAUGAAAACUGAUGUAGGAAAAGUGUUCUCUUGCAUCACCAGCCCCAGCCUUGAGGCUGAUGCAAACAGCAGUCCAUGCUUUCCUUCACUGCAAGAUGGAUUGAUUUGAAUCUGACAGAGGCAAGAAAUGGCAAAACAGAUUAUGUCCAGUAUGCUUCGAUCUCUUUGGAAGAAUUGACAUAGUGGAACUAUACUGACUUUCACCAGCUGGGGGAUCUGGCCUACAAAGAAGAAGCUACAGAAGCACAAGGAGCAAAGCUCAAGUCUUUGGUAGUUUCUGCAAGACUGCUCAGCAACUGUAUGGCAAGAGCGAAGGCUGAAAAAGGGACAGGAUUAGCACCAAGCUGCCUCAACUGCCUGUCUCUGGGGCUGACAUAGGAACCAUCAGACUCUGACAAUACCAGGGGGACUGAUGUUGGCCAGGCCUUUCAUCUCAUGCACUAGAUCUUUAUAGAGCUGUUUACCCAUGUCAGCAGGAUUAUUUCUAGGGGACUUCACCUCUCCUUAACUAAGGAUUGCUACAGGUCAUAUCAAAUGAGAUGACUUCUAGCAGCACCCUAGGAGUGGAUGUCAUUCUCCUCUAGCUGCAGCCUAAUAAAGGCACUGACCCAUGCUGCCACUGGAGCAGAAGCUAGUGCACUUUGGAAGUUGUAAAAUAAACUAUACACAAAGACACAGUAAUAAGGGCAUCAGUCACCCAUCCCUCCAGCCACAAGGCUCACACAAGAAGAUAUCUGCUUACAGAUGAGCAGUGCAGCCCCCUCUGCAGUUCUGAAAGGGCUCUCAUCCUGGCCAGGCAACCCCUGAGGAGCCAGGAUCGUGUGCAGAUACAGCCACAGGAGCACAUUCAACUGCCACGGUGGUGGCCUUCAGUAGGUUAUACAAUCAGUCACAGCAGCUACCCCAUGGCAGGCCACUGAUGAUCAAGUAGGAGGCAGGUGAAUGCUCUGGAAAGUGACUUUUUUUUU